UGCAAAUCACCGGAAACGAACAACAAGUUUCUUCGCCUUUCUUUGCUCGUGAACAGUAAAUCCAUGGAAACAAACACUACCUUAGAGUGAAAUUGCCCCUUCUCUUCCCAAUCCCUACUUCUCCACUCUUCUUCAAACCCAAGCCGUUCAUCUGUUCCGCCCUUCUUCCUCGCUGCCGUCAACCAGGCCGAACCGGACCGCCUCCCUCAAACCACCGCCCGCAAGGUCCAGUCGGUUGCGUUUCCGGUGGUAGACUCCGAGUUGCAGUGAGUUGCGGAAUCGUUCCGAGUCUUAACGACACAGUGCUUCUGAGGAAGAGACCUAGAAGCGGUUCCGCUAGUGGAAGCGACUACAACCUUAUGGUGGGUCUGGUUCUGGUUUGGAGGUAGCGGUUUCUCUUCUUCUUGGUUGGUUUGGGCUUGUUGCUCGAGCCAUCGCUCUUGUAGUUGAGCGAGAGUGACAUAGUUGGAAGACAGAGAAGCAUGUUACUAGGUGACUCCGGGAAAACAUCCUUUUGAUACUGGACUGAUGGAAAUACAAGCAUGCGGAUAAUCUACACUUUUUUUGGGUUAUAAAGCUCCAGUGUUCUUAUUUUUGCUAUUUGUGAAAAUCCUUUGGACCAGCAACAGUUAUAGUACUGUAAGCAAAUUAGUUGUGGUCCAGUGGAUUUGGAAAUACCCGUGACAGGUCUAGAAAAAUGUUAUAGAUAGCAAAGCAUUUGCUAAAGUUUCAAAAGCUUGAACUGCAAUCUAGCAUAAAAUUUCAUAGUCACUCCUCUUGGAAGGCAACAUAACUAAUUUUCCUUUCAUUUUGAACCAUGAAACUGAGAUACAAAAAUAUAAAUCUUGCUUGUGUUAUUUGCCAAUUAGUUCAAAUGGCCACGUGUUUUUAAAUUACCUUUUUACUGUUGGUCUACUAUAAUUGUCGUAUGCUUGAACUGAUAUUUAAAUUACCUUUGGAUUGUUCAUUCUAUAGGACUGUGUUGCUUUGCUGGCAUAUGAACAGCCUUCGGAAUCCUACUAACUUCAUGUAAGGCAAGUAAUUUAUUAUAACCUUGCUUUUUGAGGGUUGCUAGGAAUAACUUUAAAUGAUGAAAAUGAAGUGGGUUGAAUUUUAUUUUUAUGGUUAGCAUAUGCUUUUAUAUUGAAUGAGUUGAAAACUAAACAUC